GGCCUCGAACGGUCUUGAAAAAGACUGCGGCCCCCUCCAUAUUGAAGACAUGGUUGUAAUUCCGGCAAUCUGGAGGCGUUCUGGACAGGGGUUCGACUCCCCUCACCUCCACCUGAGCGUAUUGCUAUGCGCUGAGGUGGGGGUGCAUCGGUUUCGACAGGGCGUGCAAAGGGGCGCAGGCAACCCGUCAGGCGAUCGACGUAAAUGAAGCAAAUCCAUAGACGCCAACGAUGAGCGUUUUGCAUUGGCCGCCUGAGGCCAACGCCGGGGCCGCUGAAGCCUUGUAGACCAAGACAGCCGGUGGGGACUUCGGUCCCCACUGUCA
rnacentral:tmRNA from 1 species